rnacentral:rRNA from 1 species
AGCGAACGCUGGCGGCAGGCCUAACACAUGCAAGUCGAACGAACUCUUCGGAGUUAGUGGCGGACGGGUGAGUAACACGUGGGAACGUGCCUUUAGGUUCGGAAUAACUCAGGGAAACUUGUGCUAAUACCGAAUGUGCCCUUCGGGGGAAAGAUUUAUCGCCUUUAGAGCGGCCCGCGUCUGAUUAGCUAGUUGGUGAGGUAAAGGCUCACCAAGGCGACGAUCAGUAGCUGGUCUGAGAGGAUGAUCAGCCACAUUGGGACUGAGACACGGCCCAAACUCCUACGGGAGGCAGCAGUGGGGAAUCUUGCGCAAUGGGCGAAAGCCUGACGCAGCCAUGCCGCGUGAAUGAUGAAGGUCUUAGGAUUGUAAAAUUCUUUCACCUGGGACGAUAAUGACGGUACCCGGAGAAGAAGCCCCGGCUAACUUCGUG